GAGGUUUUGGCGCGUGGUUUGAUCGCCAGCGCGUUGUUGCCGCGCAGGGUGAUCAGGCCUUCUUCCAGGCGUUUCAGGUACACCGGAUCGUU
rnacentral:tRNA from 1 species